rnacentral:lncRNA from 1 species
GGCGGAGGAGCGGGUCGCAAGCGGCGCGGAUGCCGAGGCAAGUCGUAGUUGACUCCACUUUUCAAAAUUAUUUCCGAAAGAAUUCUGGAUUGGGUUCCAAGCCUGCAUUGUGUGCCCCUGCUGGAUGGCUACAAACUCAGCAUGGUACCAUACCAUUUCCUGCUGGGUGGGAACUAAACCAUCAUUGGCCCACUGCAUGUAUGCAAAGGGUCUGCCCAUAGCAAUUUCAAGUGAAUGCAUGGGGUUAUCUGUGGUGUGGAAUGAAAGACCUUCAGGAGAAUCUGGGGUGGAUAUAUUUUCAUGUGUUUAAGAGAGGAAGAUAACAUCUGGAUUUCAAGUUGUCUUCUCACAUGGUCAGGUACCAGAAUAGUCACAGUACCAACUGUCCUCGGUUUGGAAUGCUGACUGCACACCAGGCUCCGUGCUGCAGAAGGACCAUUUGUUCUGAACAGUUGGUUAUCAGCAUGAAAGUGUGAAUGUAUGGAAACAUCAGGACAGGAAAUGAAAAGGACGACAGGCCAAAGACACAGCAGUCUCCCCUUAAUAUAUAAGCACUGUCAGUUCUUCAGGAGUGGCCAAUAAGUACUCUACAUGAGACCAACAGAAGCCUCUCAAAAGACAAAUAUUUCUCAUUUCUGUGCUACGUGCUUGGAACCAAGCUUAACAUGCACACAUAAUUGUUGGAGUAUUCAAUUCCAAUGGCAGCUUUGCAUUGAGCAAAUUGUUCAGUGCAAACUCCUUAUAGUAUACACUUUUGUUAUUUUAUAAAUGUUAGUGUGCAUAGUUGGUUUUUAAGCUGUUCAUCACCUUUUCGCCGUUUUAAUCUGUUAUUGCAAUUUGUUCUUAGUUAUGUAUGUGUCUCAUUUAGUUUGUGUGAUUCUUGGUUUAAGUUGCUUACUUGUGAAAACUUGAAAGUCCAUUGAUGUUUGUUUAUGAAAGAACAUUUUGUUACAUUGAACAAAAAAUCCAGAGUCUUGACACAUUGCUCUGAAGCAUUUUUGUUUUCCAUUUAGUUUUGAAAAAGCAACAUGUUUUUGCCCUGUUCAAGAUGGCUGAGUACGCCCAUCAUCAGAAGCUGUGAGGUUACGAGGUGUCAUCCUAAGACCACUCACGGCUUGAGAGCAAUCUGUCUUGUCAUGAGGCAUGCAGUGUUCUCUGUAUGAGAUCCCUUAUUUUUCCCAGUUGAAUUCUGUGUUGCUAGCCCUACCAGGGUUAGCACUAGAUGGUGUGGUCACCAGACCACUAAGGUCAGUGCCCUAUAUCUCAAACCGGACAUAGUGAUUGGUUGGAAUCUGUUUCUUGAACCUGCCAGGAAGAUUGAAUUUGUGCUUUUUUUCUGAUACUGUAUCACAUAUGUGGGAAUUUCAGAAUCAAGAAAAUGAACUUGACACCCUUGCAGAACUACAUGUAAAAAAAAAAAGAAACAGAGAGCUUUUUCUUCGUACCCUUAGACGCUGGAUAAUAACCUGUCACGGUUUUAUCUCCAAUUCCUAGCAACUUUCCUUUGAUGCUUAUUUUUACUUUUGGUUGUUUUCCUGUAAGCAAACAUACUUCUUCCAGUUAUCGCGUUUGAGAGUGAUCUGUCCUGAGUUUGGAAUCUUUGAAAAGAACAAUAUCCAAAUUGUUUACAUACAGUUACCACGUUAAAUCAGGUUUUUUUUGUUCAUACAUUUUAUUUUUAGUGUUAGAAUAAAUCCUUUUGUUCACCUAUAACAUUGUGCCAAUUAAGUAGUCACUUGUUCCAUAACAGUCUCAAGUAAUUAUGUGGGGAUUCCAGACCUCCAGAGAUGUAACAAGACAUUUGACACAACAAGAACGCAGCACAACAGGGCAGACCAAGUUGUGACCCUAACCCAGCCAAAGUCACGUAUUUCUCAUUUGUACCCCAGCCGGCUCUGUUCACUACCACUUAAGCCUCCACAAUCAAGCCAAUUAGUGGAAGUUAAAACUGGUUGUGUGUCAUAGUUUGGGGGAUUGGUAUCCAGUGGCCCUUGGAGGUCUCUUACAAGAUUGUACUAUACAUGUAUUUGUAGCAAGGUUCAUAUGUGUAAACUCCACAUUUAUGUCAAAUACAUGUUGCUGAAAAUAAGUUUUCAAAUUCACUGGACUAAGGUAGACCACUUUGUUUACAUUUAGAUUGAGCCCCCCCCCCUUUUAAAUGUUCAUUAUGUUUUCAACAUAUUUUUCAAAUCCAGUAUAUAUUUAAUUUGAGUACCAUACAUGUGUUUUUCUGAAUGUUGACAAUUUGAUACAUUUGAAUCAGCGUUACUUUUACUUUUGUUGCUCAAGUGUGUUUUCACAGUUACAUGUACUUCAGAACUGACAAGUAAAGGACCUCUGUAGCUGCCAAUGUCAUGUUUGGACUCACCUUUUUUUAUUUGGUAUUACUUUCCAUCACUGCUUAUCUGAAAUUGGCUUAAUAAUCUUAAUCUGGGAGGGGGUUGUAAUAGUUCUGCUGAAUGGCUUUUACCUUAGAGUUGGUUCUCUAGGUUGAUAUUUAAUUUUGUUGACUUUUUCAUUCCAUUGCAGUUGCAGCAAUAUUCCUUUUACUUCUCUUGUUCACGGUCAUCCUAAACAAAAUGUUUUCACAAUACCUCAACUCAGGUUUAUUCUUGUAUAUGCUUAUGUAUUAUGGAAAAGCAUUUGUGUAUCUGUGUAUGGUUGACUGUUAAACGAAUAGGGGAGAAAUAUGCUUUGGGUUGAGCAGUCCUGUGACCACAGGAAGUUGUUGCCUAGUUCAUCAGGCAUCAGUGACCUCUGCAUUCCUUUGCUCUGAGUGUCCACAGUAGUUCACCAAACCACUACUAUUUUACAAAAUACAACCUGGUCAUCCCACUGCUUGAAUACUGACACCCCAGGAUGCUGCUGGUUGUCCUGAAUACCCACUAGUAACAAGUCAUGAUUCAUACUUUAAUUUGUGAGUUCUUUCUUUUGGUAAACAUUAAUUCAUUUGCUGGAAACCCUUCACCUACUAGUUACAGCUGUUCUAAAACCAUCUAUGUGUGAUUAGUGUGGCCGUAAAUUAUAAUUGUUUGAUUUUGUAAAAAGAUGUGAAUAGUUUCAUGUUGAAUUUUGAAAGUGUCAUAGCUUUGUUUUCCAAAUGCAAUAUGUUUAUCAACAUCAAACAAUUCAAUAGGCUUAAUCCAAACAAGCUGAGAAUCACUCCCAAUCCAGUCCAGCUAUUUCCUUGUGCCAUCCUCUCAGAAUUGUGUAAAAACAACUUUUUGUUUUUGUGCUUUCUUCUCCCUGGAGGUCGGCCGGGGUCAAGGUGCACUGGCCGCAAGUUUGUCAGCGCCUGACUGCCACCCCAGUAGCACUUCCUUCCAGGUACUGGGAACCCUAAAAGCCCCCGCUGGGUUGAUUGUGUAUUCCCCCAGCUGAGGUGUUGGUGCUUUUGUUUCAACUUUGCCUAAUGUAAUAUAAUAGUGCCAGAGGGCUGGUGUAGUUCACUCAAGUUCAGUGGUAUAAAUGUUUGAGUGUUGGUGUGUGGCCGUAGCUACAGAAGUCCUUUUACUUCAGGAAAAUGCAAUGCACUUUUUCUUUGGCUGGGUCAGUGUUUUCUGGGAGGAGUGAUCAAAUUGAGCUAGAGGAAAAUGUUUCCCACAAACUUACUUCUCUUUUGCGUGGUAUGUUGAAGCCUUUUUAUAUAUAACAGUGUCUUUUCCAACCAGUCCACCUUUGUUGGUUUUAAGAUAGCAUUGUCAUUGAUAUAUUCAAUCGGAAGAUAUUUGUGAAACCUUAUUUUCUUUAUUUAUUGAUUGUGUAAUUUAUUUCCUUUUUUAGUGAAACAAAUAUUGAUGAAACUUAAACUACUUGUGUACAUAGUGGAAGAACAAAAAUUAAUUCAUGAAUUAAAAGCUUAACAUUGACAAAAAAGUGUAUUUGAUAAUACAGCGUAGACAGAGUACCUGAGAGAGUAAUUGAUUUCACUCUUAGACUUAAUGUUACACUGGUUAUUAUGUACAUGUAAACGGCUAACAUUCAUAUUGUUGAGAUAACCAUAAAUGGAUUGGUAUUUUUUAAUUGAACAAAAGUCGUAUUUGAAAUUCCAGAAAAAAGUGGACCUUUCCCCCCCCCAAAAAAAGAAAAUGAAAAAUAUUUUUCAGGUACAUGUAAAUGGACUGGUGCCAACACCUUGGCUAUGUAAAUAGAUGUAGAAUACUCCCAUGGGGCUGGUAUGUACAUCUGGUUUCUUGUCUAGGUAAUGUAAUCACUUCACACUGCCCUUUGGCAGUUGCUAUAUUCUUGGUCCAAGUUAGUGUGUGGAGUCUGGAGAGCAUGAGAUCUUGGUAGUAUGGUACAAUAUUGCAUCUUGCUGUCCUACUUAUAUUAUUACUGUGUCUACAUAGAUCAUAUUUUUAUCAUCGUAGAAUAGCUAUGAUUACUUGUGUAUGGGGGUGUUCACUUGUCAAGUGUUUAUGAUGAUUUCUGCUGUGUGGGAGUAGAAUAGGUUAUUUAUGUCAGGAAUUAAAAAAAGCAAAUUGUCUGGCUUAUGGGUGCAAAGACAGUGGUCUUUGGCCUGGUCUGAACUUUUUUUGUUUACAUCUGGAGCAAAGAUUAACCUUUGUAAAUGUACAAGUGUGUACUGUACAUGCCAUCUGCUGUUUAUGAUCCCUGAUGAAAGUUUGUACACAUAGUUACCUUGUUAAAAACAGGGGGCUUACUCUGCUCCCAUUACAAUGGUAAAUGUGCUGGAUUAGGAUUCACUAGGCACUUGACAGUAAUAAGUCUCAUGUAGUUUAACUUCUUGUGCUUGAGUAAUGAAGGCUUUGAUUUAGCAUAAAACAUUAAAGUAAAGAGAUGACCAUUGCAAGCUUUUUGAAGAAGGCUUAUUUUAGGCUUAAGUUCAAAUUUUUCAUCUCACCUUCCCUUCCAAGUUUUUUAUGACAUGUAUGUGUAGCAUUUGUUCCAGUCGGCUUGUACAUUAGUUCCGAUAUAUUUUGGUCACUACUGCUGAGACUACCUUUGUACAUGUGCUUGUGAGUUUUUUAUAUCUUAAAAUGUUCUCCAUAUUAUUUUUCCUAAUAUGUAUAUGCCGGUAGUCGGUGCAUGUAGGACAGCCUUCCCAAAAUACAAACACAAAGACUUCACAAAAAGUUUGAUGAACUAGACACGUGUAUUUCUAGCAUUAGUUCACAGACAGUUAUUUGUUAAAAGAAAAAUUUGAUAAAGGAAAAAGAAAGACUGAUACCACAAAUCAACAAUGUAACGGAUUAUUUAUAGAUAAAUUGUGUACAUUUGUCAUGAGAUUACAUAGUUCAUUAAUAUAAAUGGUAUAAAAGUCCCUAAAGUUUGUCGACCGAUCUGCUGACAUGCUGGAUCAUGUUCAGAAAUAUGAAUGUUUAGUUGAGUGUGUAAAGACCAGGUCUCUUCAGAGAAAUCAUCCAAGAAGUAAAAAUGCCCUCUUUUGAGGAUUUUUUUUAAUAAAGGAGCUUCACUUACCUUCCUGUUUUUCUGUUAAGAUUUUUAGUCUAAAUUUUAGCAACUAGUCCAUACAGGAAUGAAAGCUUUGACUAGUCUAACUUGAAUUGUGACAUUGCUUGAUGAUCACCAGUGCACCCCCCCCCCAAGUCUGAUGACCCCCAGGUUGGAGCUGAGGGUUGCAUGUGGACCCACCUAUGGUUAUCAUGAAUUAUUGGCAGUCCUCAAAAAAUUGAAGAACAUGUGCUAUGAAGUACCUUAGUUAGGAUAUAUGAUAUAGGGUCUGCCCACCCAUCAGUUUGAUAAGACCUAUUAGCCCUUUGUUUGUGUGUGUGUACAUGAGAUAAAGAGCACAAUCUCUGUUGACAAUCUGGUUUGUAUCCAGCUUUGAAAACAAAGGCAAAGAGUUGUCCUUUCAGGGUUAUCUAGUAUUUAGGAAAGGUUGGGGCAGAAGGAGUGAGUCAGUUGCUAUUACCAAAUGCUGUUGCCCUACAUUUCCCUACCAAAAUGCCCUUUGUUGACUCAAAUUUAAAGGAGCACAGUGGCUAGUAUCCUACUUUCUGUGUGGACCUCUGGCAUGACUAACUCCAGUAUGUAUACUGUAUGGGGGAAUUCAUGCGUGUAUGGGUUCAUGUACAGAUGAAUGCUGACUUGAAAAUUCUUAAAUUUUCAUGUCAGAUUUCUCAUUGAAAUGUGCUGAAGUCUGGAAGGCUGACUAGUAUAACAUAUGUGUAGUUACUUUCAAACUAUUCUUGAUGUACAGUUUGCCCCAAUUUAUUCAUACCCCUUCCAAAUUCAGGUAACAUAGAAUUCACAACCAAGAGAUCAUAGAAUUCACAACCAAAAGCUGAGAUCUUUGGCCAAGUGUGCUUUUGCAAAGGAAAUACAUGUACUAGUUUUUGUGUGCCCGCUUUGACCAUCAGUCUAACUCAAAUAUAGCAAACUGCCACAUUUUUCAAAGGGUAUGAAUGAUUUGGGGCUUAACUGUAAAUAUAAUUCUACCCAAACCUAUACUUGCCAAUAUUUUUUAAAUUGGAGCUUAAUCUGAAAUAAAGAUAUCAAAAUUAGUCGGAGCUCACUUAGAUUUACAUGUACAAUCACAUGUAGCUUUGUAUACAUGUACCCCGCUAUCAAGACUUUAAAGUCAAAAGAAAGACAAAAUGACCCACUGGGAGAGCAACAAAACAUUCAUGAACAUGGAAUGAAAUGAUGAGGGAAGCCUCGGCAACUAGAAAUACCAUUGGCAGUGCAAAAGAAGAAGAAGAAGCAAUCUUUAUGUAGUACUGUCUUAGUCUAUCAUUGGUUUUUUUUUAUCAAUGGAAUACAUGUUCAUAUGUUACCUCCUGGACCUAAAUUCUAACCCUGUUCAAACUGAUAACAGACCUGUUUCUACCAAUUUGUUGUUUGUCUUGCCAUGAAAGCACAGGGUAGAAUGGGAGAAAUGAAUUGUGUGUACAAUAAACGUCACUGAUGACAUUGUUUCAAUA